CUGAAUUUCGGAAUGAUUAGCAUUCAUACAUAUGAUUUUGCGAUUAACAAGCUUGUGUUGGUCUUUUGUCCAGUCGGCACUGUUCAAUUUCCAUUCUUUUCUCACGGUAGUGCUGCUGGUAAUAUGUACGUGUACUUAUGUGAAGAUGCACUUUCCGGCCAUUCUGGAGCAGAGGACUGGGUUUCGUGGUUUCUUUUGGAAGGCAGCUAGAAUAGUAUGUACCUGGUUUGCUAGCGUCAAAGUUUGGAUGAUGAGGGAAAAAAAGGGUUGGAUUAGGAUGAAAUCAGGAUCUUGGGGUCCUUGAAGCCAACAGGGACACAAGCAAGAACGUGAACUGCUAGUUUGCUCUUGAAUCUUCUCAAGACUAAACCUUUCCCUCCUCCCCAGCUAAAUACUGAGAGGAUGAUUUUCUUCAUUGGUUUCUUCUUGUUGCUCUGAGCUGUGUCGAAUACAUGGGCAAUCUGUCUGGAAGAGGAGUUGGUAUUGUCGCCAGGGUUGACAAUCCUCCAGAUCGAAUGGGAAAUUCCUACUUGGUUAGGGAGCAACAUUCUCUACAAUUCCGAUUUCUGUUGGUUCAGGUCUCAAUCUUUGCUUGGAAAACUAGGAAUAUUACUCUUGAAAUUGACAUUUUCUGUCAUAUUUCGAAUUGAAAAUGACCGCGAUCCUUCCUAUGCUUGGCCUAAAUUAUAUAGGCAAUCCCCCUUAUUUAAAAUCACCUCCAUUUUUUGUGCCUUCAGGAUCAGUAUUUUGUCCUCCAUCCCCUAUUUUGUAUCUCUGCUUUUGAAGGUUUCCUAUCUACAGAAACUUCGGCCAUCUUUGUUUGGCAUAUGGGUUGGGACGAGAGCAUUCUUGUCUUCUCUAGCUCUGUUCUUAUUCUCGCUUUUCUUCAUUCGGCCAAUUCUUCGUAUUCUCGAUUGUUUGGUGUGUAAAGAUAGAGGAAACGUUAUUUUAUGAUCCCUAUGAUAUCAAUAUAGAGAACUACGAGUACAAGACAAAAUCAGCAGCUUGCCGUCGAGGGCCAUUGCUCACCCUGGAGGCAUCACGUCAAAUUUUUAGAAGUCAGAUGCCUGAGAAGCUAAUCCACAGGUAAGGCACGUUGAAAAUGAUCUCGAAUGGUGUCUAUGUUAUCGCUCGUCUAUAACGAAAUGGUGAUUUUUUUGUCUUCUUAUGUUUUUUGUUUUGUCUAGUUAUAAGAAUAAAGAAUAUCCAAUGAAGGUUGCCCAAAUUUACGAGGGAUAA